CUGCUGAGCCAUCUGCCCAACCCAACAAAUUAUUUUUUAAAAAAUAAAUGAGGAGCUGGAGAGAUGGCUCAGCAGU
rnacentral:miRNA from 1 species